GACGAACGCUGGCGGCGUGCCUAAUACAUGCAAGUCGAACGCAGGGGGGACGGGUGAGUAACACGUGGGUAACCUCCCAUCAGAGGGGAUAACACUUGGAAACAGGUGCUAAACCGAUACUGCUUUAUGGACCCGCGGUGCAUUAGCUAGUUGGUGAGGUAACGGCUCACCUAGGCCACGAUGCAUAGCCGACCUGAGAGGGUGAUCGGCCACACUGGGACUGAGACACGGUCCAGACUCCUACGGGAGGCAGCAGUGGGGAAUAUUGGACAAUGGGCGAAAGCCUGAGCCAGCCAUGCCGCGUGUGUGAAGAAGGUCUUCGGAUUGUAAAGCACUUUCAGUGGGGAGGCGUUACCAACAGAAUAAGCACCGGCUAACUUCGUGCCAGCAGCCGCGGUAAUAC
rnacentral:rRNA from 1 species